UGGGGAAUCUUGCACAAUGGGGGCAACCCUGAUGCAGCGACGCCGCGUGAGCGAUGAAGCCCUUCGGGGCGUAAAGCUCUUUCGACCGGAACGAUAAUGACGGUACCGGGAGAAGAAGCUGCGGCUAACUACGUGCCAGCAGCCGCGGUAAUACGUAGGCAGCAAGCGUUGUUCGGAGUUACUGGGCGUAAAGAGUGCGUAGGCGGUUUUCUAAGUUCGGUGUGAAAUCUCCCGGCUUAACUGGGAGGGUGCGCCGAAGACUGGGAAGCUGGAGUGGGGUAAAGGCAGGCGGAAUUCCUGGUGUAGCGGUGAAAUGCGUAGAUAUCAGGAGCAACACCGGUGGUGUAGACGGCUCUCUGGACCGUAACUGACGCUGAGACACGAAAGCGUGGGUAGCAAACA
rnacentral:rRNA from 1 species